CGGUUAGGGUCUUUUUUACAUGAACCAAAUCGUAUAGAUGGGUAUAUAUGAAAAUAGCGUUAAAAUAAUAACAAGUUUUAGGGCUUCUGAUAUUUUGUCUGUCUCGUACGUGAUACAGUGACAAAGGCAUUCGGCAUUUACACAAUUGCAAUUCUCCAGUCGAGUUUAGAUGGACCAAUGUGUUGUACAAUUUAUAAAGAAUAGCAUUCACUUAUGAUUCUGCAAAUGGUUCCAUUACAAUUAAGAGACAUUAACUUAAAUUAAAAUCUUGAUUAAGUAUCAUUCGUCGGAUUCAUAUU